ACAUCCAGAGAACUUAGCAGAGAUGCUUUGGUGCCUUCGGGAACUCUGAGACAGGUGCUGCAUGGCUGUCGUCAGCUCGUGUUGUGAAAUGUUGGGUUAAGUCCCGNAACGAGCGCAACCCUUAUCCUUUGUUGCCAGCGGCUCGGCCGGGAACUCAAAGGAGACUGCCGGUGAUAAACCGGAGGAAGGUGGGGAUGACGUCAAGUCAUCAUAGCCCUUACGGCCAGGGCUACACACGUGCUACAAUGGCGCAUACAAAGAGAAGCGACCUCGCGAGAGCAAGCGGACCUCAUAAAGUGCGUCGUAGUCCGGAUUGGAGUAUGCAACUCGACUCCAUGAAGUCGGAAUCGCUAGUAAUCGUAGAUCAGAAUGCUACGGUGAAUACGUUCCCGGGCCUUGUACACACCGCCCGUCACACCAUGGGAGUGGGUUGCAAAAGAAGUAGGUAGCUUAACCUUCGGGAGGGCGCUUACCACUUUGUGAUUCAUGACUGGGGUGAAGUCGUAACAAGGUAAGCGUACGUGU
rnacentral:rRNA from 1 species